GCCCUUUUCUUUUGCGGGGCGCCUCCCUAUAUCCCUGCGUGCCGGGUUCGCCCGGCUAUGAUGAUAAACUGCGGCGUGUAAUAGACGCAGCGGACCCGGGGGCGGUACCCGGCGGCUCCACCAUCACACCCGUUCGGGGCAUCCGUGCCCCGGAAGGGCGCGUUGACGGGGCCGAACUAGGAUCGACGUGUGUUCAAAAGCGCUGUUUUCAUCCGGGCUGAGUAACCCGUUCAAGGCUCAAAACUCAUAAGUGCCAACGACAACGAAGCACUUGCUCUCGCUGCGUAAUUCUAGGGGCUAACGCCCUGAAGUUACAAGGUUAGAACGCGGUCGAACCCACCGGGCAACAGAAGGGAGUUCAGCGGCUUGGGGGGUGCCGGGCAACAGAAACCCCCUACC
rnacentral:tmRNA from 1 species